rnacentral:lncRNA from 10 species
GAUCAAUAUCACCCAUGGAUUCAUGAAUUUCUCGGACAUUCCUGAGCUGGUGGGGCCUCCGGGGCCGGACGGGUUGCCUGGGCUGCCAGGAUUUCCAAUAUGGGGUUUUGCCAUGUUGCCCAGGCUGGUCUGGAACUCCUGAGCUCAAGAAAUCCAUCUGCGUCAGCCUCCCAAAGUGCUGGGAUUACAAGCAUGAGCCCCUGAGCCUGGCUGAUUUUCUGAACUUUUUACAUUUUCUAAAGGCACAUAUCAUAUGAUAACACUAAAAAUAGUGCUAACUAGACGUUAAAAAACAAAAGAGAGAAUGGCAACCAUGACCACGAUUGUGACCAUGACUCUGACCAUGAUUCUUGGUUAGCAGAAGAAAAGGCCAAACCCCUAAGCUCCAGCCCCGGCUUGGCUGCUCCAAGACCUGGGGCACAUUUCAGAGCACACUUUCCUCUAAAUGAGUGGUCCUGUGUUCCUGAGGGAGUCCCAGGCUCUGCAGGAGAGCCUCCAGGACCUCCACUGCAGGGAGUAAGGAGGGGGCCAAAUAGGCACAUUCCAGGCCACUGACCUUCAAUAAGGGAAGCUUCACUGGACAUAUUUGUAUAUAUUAGGCUUUCAUUUAAGACUUUAUUUGGGGGAAAAAAAAGGAAGGAAAAGAGUUUCACUGCUAAACAAUAAUAACAAAUAGUUGAAAGCCACUGCUGUAAUGGGUAAUUCACUCUUUCAUCCAGACAAGACAGGAACUUGUGAAAAGUUAAAAUAGCAAUAAAGUGUUGAAAUGCC